rnacentral:rRNA from 1 species
UCCCUUAGUAACGGCGAGCGAACCGGGAAGAGCUCAAAUUUGAAAUCUGGCGUCCGACGGGCGUCCGAGUUGUAAUCUGCAGAGGCGUCUUCCGCGCCGGACCGCGUCCAAGUCCCUUGGAACAGGGUAUCAAAGAGGGUGACAAUCCCGUGCUUGACGCGACCCCCGGUGCUGUGUGAUGCGACCUCAAAGAGUCGAGUUGUUUGGGAAUGCAGCUCAAAACGGGUGGUAAAUUCCAUCUAAGGCUAAAUAUUGGCGAGAGACCGAUAGCGAACAAGUACCGUGAGGGAAAGAUGAAAAGCACUUUGGAAAGAGAGUUAAACAGUACGUGAAAUUGUUGAAAGGGAAACGAUUGAAGUCAGUCGUGUCCGAGGGGUUCAGCCGGUCCUGCCGGUGCACUCCCCUCGGACGGGUCAACAUCGGUUCCGUCCGACGGACAAGGGAGGGGGGAACGUGGCACCCUCGUGGUGUGUUAUAGCCCCCCGCCGCAUACGUCGGUCGGGACCGAGGAUCGCAGCUCGCCCUCACGGGCCGGGGUUCGCCCACGUCCGAGCUUAGGAUGUUGACGUAAUGGCUUUAAACGACCCGUCUUGAAACACGGACCAAGGAGUCUAACAUAUCUGCGAGUGUUUGGG